rnacentral:rRNA from 1 species
AGAGUUUGAUCAUGGCUCAGAUUGAACGCUGGCGGCAUGCCUAACACAUGCAAGUCGAACGGAAACGAUGGGAGCUUGCUCCCAGGCGUCGAGUGGCGGACGGGUGAGUAAUGCUUAGGAAUCUGCCCAUUAGUGGGGGACAACUCGGGGAAACUCGAGCUAAUACCGCAUACGCCCUACGGGGGAAAGCGGAGGACCUUUCGGGGCUUCGCGCUAAUGGAUGAGCCUAAGUCGGAUUAGCUUGUUGGUGAGGUAAAGGCUCACCAAGGCGACGAUCCGUAGCUGGUCUGAGAGGUUGAUCGGCCACAUUGGGACUGAGACACGGCCCAAACUCCUACGGGAGGCAGCAGUGGGGAAUAUUGCACAAUGGGGGAAACCCUGAUGCAGCAACGCCGCGUGAAGGAUGAAGGCCCUUGGGUUGUAAACUUCUUUGAUCAGGGAAGAAAGAAAUGACGGUACCUGAAUAACAAGCCACGGCUAACUACGUGCCAGCAGCCGCGGUAAUACGUAGGUGGCAAGCGUUGUCCGGAUUUACUGGGUGUAAAGGGCGUGUAGGCGGGCCUGUUAGUCAGAAGUGAAAUCCCCGGGCUUAACCCGGGAACUGCUUCUGAAACUGCAGGUCUUGAGUACUGGAGAGGAAAGUGGAAUUCCUAGUGUAGCGGUGAAAUGCGUAGAUAUUAGGAGGAACACCAGUGGCGAAGGCGACUUUCUGGACAGAAACUGACGCUGAGGCGCGAAAGCGUGGGGAGCAAACAGGAUUAGAUACCCUGGUAGUCCACGCUGUAAACGAUGGAUACUAGGUGUAGGGGGUGUCGACUCCCCCUGUGCCGCAGCUAACGCAAUAAGUAUCCCACCUGGGGAGUACGACCGCAAGGUUGAAACUCAAAGGAAUUGACGG